UUAUGUAUCAGAACUUUCUGAUCAAAACAGCAACCAAUAUAAGGUCCUUGAAGCAAGAGUUGUAUCAGUGUUCGAUUUCAUCUACAGGGCAAAAUAUGGACUUCUUUUCAUCCGCGUUUAUGUCAUAAAGUUUAGCCCAGCUAUAACCAGAACACGAGCAGAUAAUGUUCAAGUAGAGGUGGGGAUUGAGUUCAAUACAACAGCUUCACCUGCAGACAUCCCAAAGCCUGCUGAUGUUGUAAAAACAUUAGAAGAAGCUGCAUCUAACUCCAACAACACCUUCAAUGUCACUAUUCAAGCCAACUCCACCCAAC